GUGCUUGCUCUGGCAGCACAUAUAUUAAAAUUGGAAUGAUACAGAGAGGAUUAGCAUGGCCCUGCACAAGGAUGACACGUAAAUUUGUGAAGCGUUCCAUAUUUAA